CCUACGGGGGACAGCAGUGAGGAAUAUUGGUCAAUGGACGAGAGUCUGAACCAGCCAAGUAGCGUGAAGGAUGACUGCCCUAUGGGUUGUAAACUUCUUUUAUAUGGGAAUAAAAUGUUCCACGUGUGGGAUUUUGUAUGUACCAUAUGAAUAAGGAUCGGCUAACUCCGUGCCAGCAGCCGCGGUAAUACAGAGGAUCCGAGCGUUAUCCGGAUUUAUUGGGUUUAAAGGGAGCGUAGGUGGAUUGUUAAGUCAGUUGUGAAAGUUUGCGGCUCAACCGUAAAAUUGCAGUUGAAACUGGCAGUCUUGAGUACAGUAGAGGUGGGCGGAAUUCGUGGUGUAGCGGUGAAAUGCUUAGAUAUCACGAAGAACUCCGAUUGCGAAGGCAGUUCACUGGACUGCAACUGACACUGAGGCUCGAAAGUGUGGGUAUCAAACAGGAUUAGAUACCCUUGUAGUC
rnacentral:rRNA from 1 species